AAAGGUAAGCUACUAAGAGCGAAUGGUGGAUGCCUUGACUGGUAAAGGCGAUGAAGGACGUACUAGACUGCGAUAAGCUACGGGGAGCUGUCAAGAAGCUUUGAUCCGUAGAUUUCCGAAUGGGGCAACCCAAUGUAUAGAGAUAUACAUUACCUAUAUAGGAGCGAACGAGGGGAAUUGAAACAUCUUAGUACCCUCAGGAAAAGAAAUCAAUAGAGAUUGCGUCAGUAGCGGCGAGCGAAAGCGCAAGAGGGCAAACCCAGUGCUUGCACUGGGGGUUGUAGGACUGCAAUGUGCAAGAGGUAAGUUUAGCAGAACAUUCUGGAAAGUAUAGCCAUAGAGGGUGAUAGUCCCGUAUGCGAAAAACAAACCUUAGCUAGCAGUAUCCUGAGUAGGGCGGGACACGAGGAAUCCUGUCUGAAUCCGGGUCGACCACGAUCCAACCCU
rnacentral:rRNA from 1 species